CUCAAGGGCACCUGACCACUGAAUCACAUCACCGGCCCUAUUUUGUAUUCUAUUUAGAGUCAGGGUCUCACUGAGUUGCUUAGCAGUCUUGCUUUUACUGAGGCUGACUUUUAAACUUGAAAUCCUCCUUUCUCAGCCUCCCAAGCUGCUGGAAUUACAGGUGUGCACACCACGCCUGGCCACUUUAUUCAUUUUUUAAAAAUGAAUAUCUGCCAGAUACCAAAGUCAGAACACCCAUGAUUUGUUUAAAAGAGGUUACGAGUUCAGUUCUCAACUCAGUUAUAAAAGAGAUUUUUCUUGGGAUAAAUAAUUUAAUUUCAAUGCUUGCUUCCCAUUCUUGCACACAGAAUAUUUAAAAUACAUGUGGUGGUCAACAUUAAUAAAAAUAAUAAUUGUUAAUCCUUCAUUAAGGACAAUCUCAAAAGAGUCAUAUUUCUUUCCUGCUAAUUUUAUCGAUGAAGAACACAGUGACAACCACUACAGUUGUGUGGCCCUUCCUUGAUUGGUGCUAAGCCACCACUACAUUUGUAUCAUUUCAGUAAGGUACGUAAGUUCAUCAAUUCCAAAUACAAAACACAUUGCUACCACUACAUUUGCAUCAUUUGUGCAGAUGUCAACACCAUGGAAAAGACAUUAUAUUGUUAGGAUUAUUAUGAAAAUGGUUGUGGCCUCUCAGACCACCUGAAAGGGUUUUGGGACCUCCCAGUUAGAUACUGAAAAUCAGAGUCUUAGAGGAAUGAUUAGCCUCUCUCAGAGUAACCUAGAUAAGAAAGUGUUCUAUUGGAAGAAACAAAGAUGAAUUGUCGCCAGGUGCAGUGGCACAUUCCUGUAAUCCCAGGGGCUGGGGAGGCUGAGGCAGGAGAAUUGCAAAUUCAAAGCCAGCCUCAGCUAUAUAGCAAGAUUCUAAGCAACUUAAUGAGACCCUGUCUCAAAAUAGAAAAUAAAAAGGGCUGGGGAUGUGGCUUAGUGGUUAAGUAUCCUUGGAUUCAAUGUUACAAAAAAAAAA
rnacentral:lncRNA from 1 species